rnacentral:rRNA from 1 species
GAUGAACGCUCGCUACAGGCUUAACACAUGCAAGUCGCGGGGCAGCAUGGGGGUUGCUUGCCACCCCUGAUGGCGACCGGCGCACGGGUGAGUAACGCGUAUCCAACCUGCCCUUCACCACGGGAUAACCCGGCGAAAGUCGGACUAAUACCGUAUGUUGUCCAUUGACGGCAUCCGAUUUGGACGAAAUGCUUGGCGGUGAAAGGAAGGGGAUGCGUCCGAUUAGCUUGACGGCGGGGUAACGGCCCACCGUGGGUCCGAUCGGUAGGGGUUCUGAGAGGAAGGUCCCCCACACUGGAACUGAGACACGGUCCAGACUCCUACGGGAGGCAGCAGUGAGGAAUAUUGGUCAAUGGGCGUAAGCCUGAACCAGCCAAGUAGCGUGCAGGAGGACGGCCCUAUGGGUUGUAAACUGCUUUUAUGCGGGGAUAAAGUGGCCAACGUGUGGGCUUUUGCAGGUACCGAAUGAAUAAGGACCGGCUAAUUCCGUG